UACGUAGGGCGCAAGCGUUAUCCGGAAUUAUUGGGCGUAAAGAGCUCGUAGGCGGCUUGUCGCGUCGACUGUGAAAACCCACGGCUUAACUGUGGGCUUGCAGUCGAUACGGGCAGGCUAGAGUUCGGUAGGGGAGACUGGAAUUCCUGGUGUAGCGGUGAAAUGCGCAGAUAUCAGGAGGAACACCGGUGGCGAAGGCGGGUCUCUGGGCCGAUACUGACGCUGAGGAGCGAAAGCGUGGGGAGCGAACAGG
rnacentral:rRNA from 1 species